UUGUCCAAGAAUAUGUUCCAGGCUUUACUGGCAAGUGAACUGAGGUCCGGCGUGUGAAUGGAAACCACGACAGUAGUCAAUGGACCUGAGGGUGUCCCAAUGAAACAUGGCUCGACAACAGUGUUGCCAACUCCUCAGUAAGGAAAGUAGCUAUUGGCUGUCCUAAAAGUCGCUAAAUGUUGUCAUCACCUAAUUUGCAUAAUUGGCCAUGUGCAUGUAAUUGUGAUGGACGCUGUAGGAGAGAGGAAUAACGUUGUGGGAGAGACAAAACGUACUUAGAAACACUUACAUCCGUGGACUCAUCGAGGAGGAGGCUGAAACGCUGGUCACCCACAUCUGCAACCAACUUUUUCAGAAAGUAUGGUGCUAGAACACCAUUAAUCAUUUCUGUGCACUUUGUCCUGUGCAUUUUGUGGUGGGUAGCAGCAGUAGUGGAAUCUGAGAAAGCAGCUCUACAUGCUUCUCCGGUGUUCAGCGAUAGCUAAUGCCAUGGUGGCCUUAGCCUUUUAUGCAGAGUCAAAUUUUUUAACCAUAAAUGGCAGCUUGUUUUGGGUGGAACUGUGAAGGCUUUUUGCAUUUUGAGUAUGUUUUUGAGUUGUCAUGUGUUUUUUUACAUCACUAAGUUUGGUGUAGAAAUCAGCCGUACAAUACAGGCAGUAUGCCCUUGUAUCAUCUCCAAUAAACGGCUUCAACCAGCU